UCCUACGGGAGGCAGCAGUGAGGAAUAUUGCGCAAUGGGCGAAAGCCUGACGCAGCAACGCCGCGUGGGGGAUGAAGCUUUAUGGAGUGUAAACCCCUGUAAGCAGGGACGAAAGUUACCUAUACAAACAGGAUGGGUAUUUGACGGUACCUGCAGAGUAAGCUCCGGCUAACUCCGUGCCAGCAGCCGCGGUAAUACGGGGGGAGCAAGCGUUGUCCGGAAUUACUGGGCGUAAAGGGCGUGUAGGCGGUAUUGUAAGUCAGAUGUAAAAGGUUACGGCUUAACCGUAGAGUGUCAUUUGAAACUACAGUACUUGAGUGCGAGAGAGGGUAGUGGAAUUCCCAGUGUAGCGGUGAAAUGCGUAGAUAUUGGGAAGAACACCAGUAGCGAAGGCGGCUACCUGGCUCGUAACUGACGCUAAUGCGCGAAAGCGUGGGGAGCGAACAGGAUUAGAUACCCUGGUAGUCCACGCCGUAAACGAUGAACACUAGGUGUUGGUCCCGACGUGUCGGGAUCGGUGCCGCAGCAAACGCAUUAAGUGUUCCGCCUGGGGAGUACGAUCGCAAGGUUGAAACUCAAUGAAUUGACGG
rnacentral:rRNA from 1 species